ACUUUUAAAGGAUAGAAGCAAUCCAAUGGUUUUA
rnacentral:tRNA from 2 species